rnacentral:tRNA from 1 species
GGGCCUGUAAUCUAGUCUGGAUAGGGUACCCGGCUUCGGACCCGACGUCGCAGGUUCGAAUCCUGCCAGGCCCA